GGCCUGUUUAUUAAGCAUCUGUGUGUGAGGGUGUUUCAUUACAAAGUGAAUGUUUCCAUAGGCAAAGGCAGUGUACAUAUCAUCCUAUGUUUUAAAGACAUUCUUUGAUGCUUAGAGAGUUACAAACAAUAAAGCAGUUCUUUCACUGCAAAAAACCCCUACAUAAAUCAAAUGAUUUCAAGGAGUCACAACUUCAAGGAGACAUCAAACCCCUGUUCCCCUUCUAAUAAAUUAACAAUUGUACAGACACCUUAGGUAUCACCUUUGUUAGGAAGCCAUGACUGACACCUCCAGAAUGAGUAGAAUAAUGCCUUAUUUUUAAACCCAGUGGAAAGGUUGAGUCAAGGGGAUUCCCAGUGUACCCUUUUGGAUUAAAAAGUGGCUACAGGCUGCAAAGCUAAAGCUGGUGUUCCUGUCCAUCCUGGCUGUGGUGUAUGGAUGGACUGUGGGAUCUAGCGUCUUUCCCGUCCCCCCACCUUGUGAUUUCGGGACCGGGUGGAUACUGGUGUCACUGAAGGAAUCUCUGCCCUGCUGUGACUUAGGGGCUUCCCACAGCUGAUUUCUCCCUCCUUGCAACGUGCGGAAAGGCCAGUCGCCUGCCUGGAGAGGCCAGGGAAAGGGCAGGGAGGGGCGGGCAGGGAAUCCCGCUCCGACGAGGGGAGGGAUCCAGCUCACGUUUUGCUUCCUGCCCGGGAGGGCUAGGUCCAGCGAGAGCGGAGCCCAGCGUCCCUCCCAGAGGGUCUGGCCAGGGGAGACACGACCCUUCCGGGGAGAGCACAUUUCGCUGCCCCGCUCCUGGGCUCCAUAUUCCGCGCGGGGCUCGCCUGGCAGCGGGGGCCGCCCCGGGAGGCACGCGCCAUGGAGCCACUGGCCGCUGCCCCGCGGGGGUCGCCGAGCUGUGCGGGGGUCGCCGCGCCCCGCUGACAACGCGCCGAGCCGGCUCUGCCUCUCUCCUCUUGUUGGCCUACAAGAACAAAGCAGGUGUGGUACAUCUGGUUCCCUUCUUCCUCUUCAGCAGAAAGGAGAACACCGCAGUAGGGUCCUUUCUUAUUGGUCCUGUGUCCAAGAAGAGGGUGCUUAGCCUGCAGUCCAUGCUGACAACAAUGUUGUCAACACUGUUGGGGAGUGUUGAAGCUUUAAGCCUAACUCACACUAAAGUUUUCUUGGCAUAAGUAACCAAUAGAACCAUACCAGAAAAAGCCCUAGUUCACAUGCAGUUACAUCAGCAAAAAGUACUUUGGCUAAUAUAGCUUAUUUUGUUUGGGGAAAUGGCAUAAGAUAUGCCAUCAGGAGAGCUCUGUGCUGAUCUAAGCUGUGUAUAAGUAGCACAACAAACCCUUUCUUGUGCAGAUAGGAUGUGAGUCUCCCCCACUGAGCAGCUGCAGCAGGAGAUCUUCAUCUGUCUCUCUAGUCCUGAGGAAAGCUAAUGCUGAAAUCCUUUCUCACACCAGUGUGGUGGCCAGGAGGAGUUGCAAGCUUAACAGAGCAGCUGGCUGUAGGCAAGGGCAGGGAAUGUUCCCAGCUCUUUUAAAAAUAACAAACAUGGUACACGUAUCAGGGCCUGGAGUACUCCAGGAUACUUGCAUGCUCUUGAGGUGUCAGGCACCCCCUCAGUCUGUCCAGCCAGUUCUAGUUGGUCAUAUUUCCUCCAAAGACAAAGGAAUAAGGGAGAUAACCACUUAGGACUUGCCUAUGUGUAUGCUUUACUGUUUAACUAUGCCUUGUAUUCAAAGCAGUAGACCAUCCACUCCGCAUGCAGAUACAGUUAUUGUAGUAUACUAGUAUAAGCCUGCUUAUAGCAUAACAGCAGCAUCUACCCUAGGGCUUUUGCUUGCAUGUUUUAUGUCAGCAUAAAUUACACCCCUUACCAGUACAUCUAUGCCAGUAACAUUUUAAGUGUAACUGAGGCCACAGAAGGGGUAGAUAAUGAUUCUUUUCCUAUAUAUCAUGCACUUUCCCUAUAGAUGUUCUGUAGAUUUGGCUUAAAUUUACUGGUGACAUGUCACUUUAGCUUGUACAAAGACUUAACCUAACUAUUCUCUUUCAUUUUCACUAUUAGGUUUUAUGUACUAGCACAAUCUUGCUAUGUCUGAGUUGUUUAAAAUAAAAUUAGUCUCGAGGAUUGCUGUUAAAUAAGA
rnacentral:lncRNA from 1 species